GGGGCUGUAGCUCAGCUGGGAGAGCGCUUCAAUCGCACUGAAGAGGCCAGGGGUUCGAAUCCCCUCAGCUCCA
rnacentral:tRNA from 1 species